GAGGGCACGCCAGGGAGUGUGUGGGAUUCGCAGGCCCCAAUAGUGAGGCAGCCAGGAGGGCCCCUCCCAGGACCUGGACAAGGAGAAGGAGCCACUCACCAGAAGAUCUGGGGAGCACGCUUGCAGGCAGAGGGAAGGGCAGGUGCAAAGGCCCUGAGGUGCAAAGGAGGGCAGCAGGCCUGCAGAACAGCAAGGAGGCAAGUGUGCAUGUAGGAGGGGGAGAGGAGGAAGGGAUAAGGUCACAGGCGAACCUGAGGAGGUUGGAUUCCAUUCUAGGGCUUUGUGCAGAGAGGCAACAUAAUCGGGCUUGUUUGGAGCGGAGCAGUCUGGCAAGAGAGCAAGCAGGGGCACCUGCUAAAAACCCAGCUCGUUCCCAAAUUUCGGGCAAAAUAACGCCGCGAACAGUGCCAUCCGUCCAUGCUGGGCCAAGGUCUGUCUGUCUUCGCCAGAGCUCAUAUAAUAACAACUGCAUUUGCCAUCCUGAGAACCCAGGCGCUGUUCUAAUCGCUCAAUGGCCACACCCGCCCUGGGGAGGAGGUAGUACUCAGAUCUCCAUUUUAUGAAUGAGCUCCAGACAGGUGGGGAUAUGAAUCACAACUGCCCGGCAGGUGUCCUGGGCACCAGCUCAGGUAGCCCUUUACCUGUGAAGGUUUCAGGCGGGUUGGAAGGGAGCUGACUGGGGACGAAGUGGACAAGGCAGGACAACUGGGGGUGUGUUCUCCCCAUCAGAGUGAGUGACUGUUUCCUGCCAGGAGAUCUCAAGCGCUGGUGGAAAGAGGCAGAGACUCAACUUUCUGCCCUCUCCCUGCCCUCAACCAUUCCUCCACCACUGAGCGGCCCCUUGAUGACUGGAAGACACCUCGUAUUGCCUCCCUAGGGCAGCUUCAUAAGCACUCUGCACUCUGGAAGAGACGGGUGCCGACGGUGGGAUUUUCACAAGAGGCAGGAUCCCCCCCCUCUCUGAAACCUGUAACACUCCCGAUGCGCUUUUGUUGCAAGAGGCUGAGGGCAGCUGCUGGCAGCAAAACGUAAAGGCAAAAACAUCACCUGAUGACUGAAACAGCCCGAGAAGGAGCAACAGGGGAGGCCACGGUCCUUUUUGUGGCACCGUGACUGCAGUAGAAGUCCCCAAGGACUGGCGACUGAUGCCCCGCCAUCAGAGGGCAAGUGUGGAAGGCACUCAAAGGUCUGACUGCUGGCCCUUGCCCUUUAUUUGUGCUGUCAGUAACCAACCAGUUUGGGAGUGACCCGAAGGGAAACCAGCAUCCCUGGCAGGCAGGAUUUUGCCUCCUGCUUCAUCAGCAACAGGUCACGAAUGAACGAACGAACGAACGAAUGAAUGACACUGAUGCACAUACGGUUCAUGUUUAUAUUUAUACACGAUCUGUAUUUUAUCAUUAAAGAUCAAAGAUGCAUUUUAUAGA